UACGUAGGGCGCAAGCGUUGUCCGGAAUUAUUGGGCGUAAAGAGCGUGUAGGCGGCCAGGUAGGUCUGCUGUGAAAACUCGAGGCUUAACCUCGAGAUGUCGGCGGAAACCAUCUGGCGUAGAGUCCGGAAGAGGAGAGUGGAAUUCCCGGUGUAGCGGUGAAAUGCGCAGAUAUACAGGGAGGAACACCGGUGGCGAAGGCGGCCAGCUGGACCAGUUCUGACGUGAGACGCGAAAGCGUGGGGAGCAAACAGG
rnacentral:rRNA from 1 species